UACAGAGGUCCCAAGCGUUGUUCGGAUUCACUGGGCGUAAAGGGUGCGUAGGCGGUCGGGCAAGUCUGAUGUGAAAUCUCACAGCUUAACUGUGAAACUGCAUUGGAUACUAUCCGGCUAGAGGAAUGGAGGGGAGACUGGAAUACUUGGUGUAGCAGUGAAAUGCGUAGAUAUCAAGUGGAACACCGGUGGCGAAGGCGGCUCUCUGGACCGAUACUGACGCUGAGGCGCGAAAGCGUGGGGAGCAAACAGG
rnacentral:rRNA from 1 species